rnacentral:rRNA from 1 species
CCAUCCCGGCUUACCAACCCGAUGCAAACUGCGAAUACCGGAGAAUGUUAUCACGGGAGACACACGGCGGGUGCUAACGUCCGUCGUGAAGAGGGAAACAACCCAGACCGCCAGCUAAGGUCCCAAAGUCAUGGUUAAGUGGGAAACGAUGUGGGAAGGCCCAGACAGCCAGGAUGUUGGCUUAGAAGCAGCCAUCAUUUAAAGAAAGCGUAAUAGCUCACUGGUCGAGUCGGCCUGCGCGGAAGAUGUAACGGGGCUAAACCAUGCACCGAAGCUGCGGCAGCGACACUGUGUGUUGUUGGGUAGGGGAGCGUUCUGUAAGCCUGUGAAGGUGUGUCGUGAGGCAUGCUGGAGGUAUCAGAAGUGCGAAUGCUGACAUAAGUAACGAUAAAGCGGGUGAAAAGCCCGCUCGCCGGAAGACCAAGGGUUCCUGUCCAACGUUAAUCGGGGCAGGGUGAGUCGACCCCUAAGGCGAGGCCGAAAGGCGUAGUCGAUGGGAAACGGGUUAAUAUUCCCGUACUUGGUGUUACUGCGAAGGGGGGACGGAGAAGGCUAUGUUGGCCGGGCGACGGUUGUCCCGGUUUAAGCGUGUAGGUGUGUGUUCCAGGUAAAUCCGGUUCACUUUAACACUGAGGCGUGACGACGAGGCACUACGGUGCUGAAGCAACAAAUGCCCUGCUUCCAGGAAAAGCCUCUAAGCAUCAGGUAACAUCAAAUCGUACCCCAAACCGACACAGGUGGUCAGGUAGAGAAUACCAAGGCGCUUGAGAGAACUCGGGUGAAGGAACUAGGCAAAAUGGUGCCGUAACUUCGGGAGAAGGCACGCUGACACGUAGGUGAAGUGAUUUACUCAUGGAGCUGAAGUCAGUCGAAGAUACCAGCUGGCUGCAACUGUUUAUUAAAAACACAGCACUGUGCAAACACGAAAGUGGACGUAUACGGUGUGACGCCUGCCCGGUGCCGGAAGGUUAAUUGAUGGGGUCAGCGCAAGCGAAGCUCCUGAUCGAAGCCCCGGUAAACGGCGGCCGUAACUAUAACGGUCCUAAGGUAGCGAAAUUCCUUGUCGGGUAAGUUCCGACCUGCACGAAUGGCGUAAUGAUGGCCAGGCUGUCUCCACCCGAGACUCAGUGAAAUUGAACUCGCUGUGAAGAUGCAGUGUACCCGCGGCAAGACGGAAAGACCCCGUGAACCUUUACUAUAGCUUGACACUGAACAUUGAGCCUUGAUGUGUAGGAUAGGUGGGAGGCUUUGAAGUGUGGACGCCAGUCUGCAUGGAGCCGACCUUGAAAUACCACCCUUUAAUGUUUGAUGUUCUAACGUGGACCCGUUACCCGGGUUGCGGACAGUGUCUGGUGGGUAGUUUGACUGGGGCGGUCUCCUCC